rnacentral:rRNA from 1 species
UGGGGAAUAUUGCACAAUGGGCGCAAGCCUGAUGCAGCCAUGCCGCGUGUGUGAAGAAGGCCUUCGGGUUGUAAAGCACUUUCAGCGGGGAGGAAGGCGGUGAGGUUAAUAACCUCAUCGAUUGACGUUACCGACAGAAGAAGCACCGGCUAACUCCGUGCCAGCAGCCGCGGUAAUACGGAGGGUGCAAGCGUUAAUCGGAAUUACUGGGCGUAAAGCGCACGCAGGCGGUUGAUUGAGUCAGAUGUGAAAUCCCCGGGCUUAACCCGGGAAUUGCAUCUGAUACUGGUCAGCUAGAGUCUUGUAGAGGGGGGUAGAAUUCCAUGUGUAGCGAUGAAAUGCGUAGAGAUGUGGAGGAAUACCGGUGGCGAAGGCGGCCCCCUGGACAAAGACUGACGCUCAGGUGCGAAAGCGUGGGGAGCAAACAGG